AUACUCUGGUUUCUCUUCAGAUCGUAUAAAUCUUUCGCCUUUUACUAAAGAUUUCCGUGGAGAGGAACGACCAAGAGUCAGUAACUAAUUUUUAGAGACCUCGCUCUGGCGAGGUU
ensembl:snRNA U5 U5 spliceosomal RNA